AUUCAUCUAACGAGUCCCAAAUAGGACGAAAUGCGCGUCUUGGAU
rnacentral:hammerhead_ribozyme from 1 species